GAACAGUUUUCAAGUGAUUUUCUGUGCGUACGGUUUAUGCUAACGAGCUCAAAGGUGGAAAGUUUUUGCCGUCGUCUUUGAUCUUUAAUAACACAAAAGCGUAAAGGAUAAAGAAUAUAAAGUUAUUAUAAUAAUUACAUGAUAAAGAAAAUGGGAUAAGUGCGUCCCUUUCCCACACGUUUCCCCGCUGACGUUGAUCGUGACAGGAACGGGAACUUUUGUCGUCUCGUUUCGCGAUUCUUAUUAGAAAAUCCUUUUUACGCGUUCGCUCAGUUGCGCAAAAGGGAGUCAAGAAAAGUA